UGUCCGGUGAUGAAAAACUUAAUAGUAAUCAUACCAUCUUUUGGGAUUGAUUAUUUGCUAUGCGGCUAUGUUGUCUUCUUGCAAUUCGGAGGCCA